AAAGAUUUAUCGGCAAAGGAUCGGCCCGCGUUGGAUUAGGUAGUUGGUGGGGUAAUGGCCUACCAAGCCGACGAUCCAUAGCUGGUUUGAGAGGAUGAUCAGCCACACUGGGACUGAGACACGGCCCAGACUCCUACGGGAGGCAGCAGUGGGGAAUCUUAGACAAUGGGCGCAAGCCUGAUCUAGCCAUGCCGCGUGAGCGAUGAAGGCCUUAGGGUUGUAAAG
rnacentral:rRNA from 1 species